UCCCUGGUGGAUUAGUGGCUAGCAUGUGAAAUUCUCACUGCUGUGGUCUGGGUUUGAUUCCUGGUCAGGGAA